rnacentral:rRNA from 1 species
AGUGAACGCUGGCGGUAGGCCUAACACAUGCAAGUCGAACGGCAGCACAGUAAGAGCUUGCUCUUACGGGUGGCGAGUGGCGGACGGGUGAGGAAUACAUCGGAAUCUACUUUUUCGUGGGGGAUAACGUAGGGAAACUUACGCUAAUACCGCAUACGACCUACGGGUGAAAGCAGGGGAUCUUCGGACCUUGCGCGAUUGAAUGAGCCGAUGCCGGAUUAGCUAGUUGGCGGGGUAAAGGCCCACCAAGGCGACGAACCGUAGCUGGUCUGAGAGGAUGAUCAGCCACACUGGAACUGAGACACGGUCCAGACUCCCACGGGAGGCAGCAGUGGGGAAUAUUGGACAAUGGGCGCAAGCCUGCUCCAGCCAUACCGCGUGGGUGAAGAAGGCCUGCGGGUUGUAAAGCCCUUUUGUUGGGAGAGAAAAGCAGCAGGUUAAUACCCCGCUGUUCUGACGGUACCCAAAGAAUAAGCACCGGCAAACUUCGU